rnacentral:rRNA from 1 species
AGCAGCCGCGGUAAUUCCAGCUCCAAUAGCGUAUAUUAAAGUUGUUGCAGUUAAAAAGCUCGUAGUUGAAUUUCGGGAUCGGUACGCUGGUCGUGCCUCCGGUAUGUACUGGUGUCACUGAUUCCUCCCUUCUGAAGAACCAUCAUGCCAUUCACUUGGUGUGGUGGGGAAUCAGGACUGUUACUUUGAAAAAUUGAGUGUUUAAAGCAGGCUCGCGCUUGAAUACAUUAGCAUGGAAUAAUGAAAUAGGACGUUUAUCCUAUUUUGUUGGUUUCUAGGAUUGACGUAAUGAUUAAUAGGGAUAGUUGGGGGCAUUAGUAUUCAAUUGUCAGAGGUGAAAUUCUUGGAUUUAUUGAAGACUAACUACUGCGAAAGCAUUUGCCAAGGAUGUUUUCACUAAUCAAGAACGAAAGUUAGGGGAUCGAAGACGAUCAGAUACCGUCGUAGUCUUAACCAUAAACUAUGCCGACUAGGGAUCGGAUGAUGUUAAUUUUAAUGACUCAUUCGGACG